AGUUGGGUGGCUGAGUGGUUUAAAGCGGCACCCUGCUAAGGUGUUAUAGUUUAAAAGCUAUCGAGGGUUCGAAUCCCUCCCCAACUGCCA
rnacentral:tRNA from 1 species